rnacentral:lncRNA from 1 species
ACCGCGCGCCAGCAGCCGCGGAAGAAGGAACCGUCCAAUGGGAAGGCGGGGCUUAUACGUCAGUAGCCCGGAGAAAGGCGGAGGGAGGAGAAAGAGAGAACGCGCGAGAAAAGCGAGCUCGGCGGGCGGGGCGGGACGAGGCGUUUUGCGCAUGUGUACUACAUGCCAAGAACGUUUUAAAGCUGACAAUUAAUGGGCUAAACCGAGGGAGAGGGCGGGAUGGAGUGCAAAUAAGCAGAGCAGACAUAAUCUGAUUACACCAACUGCCUCCCAUGGAGUCGCGAUGAAACCAUAACCAAGAGUGAAAGUUUAGUCUCUUCCUUGGGAAGAAUAGGCUGGUGAUUUUUAGCGUGAUGAUGUCCGACUGCGAAGCAACUCGGGAACCCUAAGGAGCCAUUCGAUUUUUUAAAAAAUCACAUUGUUGCUGAAUCCAGUGCAAAGAAAAUCUAAAUUGUUAUUAAUUUACUGGUUUACACUGGAAGUAUUUAUAGGCUGAGAAUGAAACCACUUUAAAUUGUGAGGCGGAGUGGAAGAAGUAGGAAUGUUAGUUUCUGCAAAACUUUGCAUCGUGAUGGAAGUUCCGAUCAGUUCCCACAUGGCAAUCUGUUUGCGAAUUCAGGCUUGUGGAGUUGCUUCUUGUGGUCAGCUGAGAGAUGAACUGGAUAGAAUUUCCUCUGGGAGUUGUUCAUGGAAAAGCUGGUCUCUGGAAACAGCAUUAGCACAGGAGUAGAAGCAUAGAAAUCUCAAUAUUAAAAUCAGGCUCAUUCUAAAUCUGAGGUUUGUACAACUACACUGUUGUAUAAAAUGAAGAGGCAACACUCCAAUAGACCAAUGGCACUCGAUACAGAUCUUGCAUUCAAUGUUCUUCUUUUUUACUUAAGUGGAAGAAUAACAGUUAAUUUCAGCAAAUCCCUACAGCACUUAAAUAUUCAUGGCCUGAGCAUUCACUACUUGCCUGCUGGCUAUCUUUAAAGCGAAUGUUGUGCCAAACUUGCAACUUCCGUUUCUGCCCAAACCUUUUGGGAAUUGGGCCACCCCUUCUUAAUGUCUGCUUGUAUUUUGCUCCUUUCCUCUCCUCCCCCACUCCCAAGGUUCCUUAAAAAACAAACAGAAAAGCUAUGCCAGAGUUAGAGGAUUUAUUUAUACAUUAUCUACUACCCUGGCUAUCCAACAACCCAGGAUUUAUGUAAUUACACUGAGCUCCUGUUUUUGCAGAAAAACUAUAAAACCUUUCAAAUCAUGGUUACUCAUUGCCCUUGAACCCAGCGGGAGUAUGAGUGUUUAGAAUGCAGAAACAUUGAUUCAAGUGAGCAAUUUAAAUGUAGAACAAUGCCAACUUCGACAGCCAAUGGAACAAAAUGUUAUAUACGGUACAGCAGCAGGUAUCAGAAAAGGACUGCACCCCUUCUGUGUUCACCAGUGGUAUGAAAGGGUGACCCACAAAUUGCAUUGAAUCAUUUAAUAAUGGAGUUAGAAGGGGGCAUUCAGACCAGUCUCCUGGUUAAUGCAAAAAUCCACAUUAAAGUAUAUUGGACAACUACUUCUUGAGGUCAUUGAGUCCAUUGUUGUACUGCUCUGCUUUCUUUAUACUGCACCAAAACCUGGCUUCCUGUAGCCUGAGCCCUUUAUUACAUGUCCUGCACUCUAGGAUGAUUGGAAACAGUUCCUGCCUUUUCUCUCUAUGACAAUCAAAUAUUUGAAGGGUUCUAUCAUAUCACCCCUUAAUCUUU